AAAAAAAAUGAGUUAGCGGUCACACCCUGUAUACAUUUUGAAAUUUAUAAAUUUCACCAAAAACACUAUUUUGAUCGUUUAAACUUAUUUAAAACACAGUAUUAGGUAGUUGUCUGCCUUCCGCAUAAGGGGGGUAAACAUGAAGGUAAAAAAAAGAAUACGGCAGAAAAUUUAGCUGAAAAGAAAAAUGUAUUAAUGUGGCGAAUAGUAUGGACGAUGAUGGUUGACACGUUGGGUGAAUGAUACCUAAAUUUUAUACCGAUUAUUUAUACCACCCGUCAAAUGAGGCAAUUUGAAUUUUGAGGAUUUGUAAUAUGCGGAUAACAGAUAUUCAACAAAUAAUAAAUGGCAAAACAAAAAUAUGGCGCAAAAUACACAACAAAUAAUUAGCUGGUUAUAAAAAUUGGAAUUGGAAGACUAACGUUAAAAUUUUAAAAUACUACGGUCUUGAAUUUCAGUCAGGAAAGGGGAUAAAGGUGGUCUUGACGUUCAGGGGUAAAAGGGUAAAGGGGACAAAUGUGGACGCCCCCCGCACGCAAGGGUGCCGGUAGCUGGAUUCGAAUUUACUUGUUUUGCAUGGAUGGCGCACAAGUUGGUGUCUUCAAACAGGCCGACGAGGUAAGCCUCACUCGCUUCCUGGCGAGCGCGUAUGGCAGCAGACCCGAGGUAAGCCUCACUCGCUUCCUGGCGAGCGCGUAUGGCCGCAGACCCGAGGUAAGCCUCACUCGCUUCCUAGCAAGCGCCUAUAGCAGCAGACCGGGCGGUAACGAUGAGGUUUCUUCACUCCACCAGUGCUUAGCACGGCACGCACGGCGUGGAUUUCCGCUCACUUUUAAAAACCUCGUAUUAAAUAUCUAACUGGAUAUAAAUUGCCAAUCUGGUUAAAAAAAACACCCCCGGAACACGAACGACUCUUCAGCACAAAAUCCACAAACCAUCUCCCUAAAAACAAUUUCAAUCUUUUCUUUCUCGAACAUUCCAUAAAAAAUAUUUUCAAAAUAUGCCUAAAGAUUCACUUUAUUACAUCCAGCCAGCAGUUAUUUGUUUGUAAAACAGGUUGGCAAUCUCGAGUUUUGAAUCUUCGAGUUUUUGAUAUAAGCGUCACCUACGCGUAUUCGCGUGAAUCAACAACAGCGAAACACGGCCUGACAAAAAAAAACUGAAGCCACAGUUCGGUAGUUCCACACAGAUGUAGACAGAUGUAGCGUUUCGCUACAGGUGAUGAUAAAACGGCCGUUAUCGUCGAUUUUAUCAUCCAUACUAUGGUUGCAGACGAUAUAUGGAGUUAUCCACAUUUGACAGCGGUAGAUGAUAGAAGACAAUUUGCGUAACAUGGUCGUUGGAUAACAUGUGGAUAAUUUGACAGAUUGUCCCAUUUUGACAGUUCAACUUAGUUAAAUUUAACUACUUACGUGCUUCUUAGAUGACGAUAAGCCUUGUCGUGAAAGCAAAAGUAGUGAAUAAUCAUAUUUUACGGUAUAAAUUACAGGGAAGUCAUAUUUUAUUAUUCCUACUCGCGGCUGCUGUUGAAGAAAAAUCUCGUAAACAGCUUUAAAAACGCUUGCAGCCCAUUUGAUAUGCCGGACGAAGAGUUUCGGCAUAUUUACAGAGUGCGUAAGGAGUGUGCAGUGCAUUUACUUAUGUGCCGAACUUAACGCCGAGCCUCAAAACGGUGAUGGGUUACCUACCAAAACACCUCAAAGGUUCUAACAGUAUACACCACACCAGCAGCACACCUACACCACCAGCAGCAGCAGCAGCUGCUGGUGUGUAACAGUUACACCUGCUAGCUGAUGGCAACUACCAACGCGGGACUAGUCAAGAUCAUGGCUUGUCCAUUGGAGCACUACUGACUGGAUUGGCCACACUACUAAAACUUCUCGUGGAUCAAGGGAAAAAUUAGAGAAGGCGCUCCUAAAAGACUUCCUAAGCAUGCAAGCAUGCACAAAACCGGCUCUUAAUAAGCUUAAUAGAUACAUAUUUCGCC